rnacentral:lncRNA from 1 species
GGGGCUCAGUCGGGGCCUAGCCGCCUCGCCCCCUCUCCGCAGCCUGGAGCAAACUUGGGAUUUUCAGCCAGCGUGGAGGACACGGCUGAUUCACCCAGGGGCUUUUGUGGGGACAUUCCUGCCGUCGGAGGCCCCUUUUCCGAAUGGCCCGUAGGCGGGGGUUCUUCCAGUGGGGCCUCCGGGGCUCUGACCAGAGAAUAUGAUUCGGGCCUCAGGGUGUGUGUGGGGGGGAGGAGUUUCCCCCUCCACGGUCUCUAGCGAUUCCGUCUUAGCUUCCCGGAUUCUCCCGCUGCACCUGCUCCCGGUGGCCGGUCAAACGGGAGCAUCCCGCCCUCCCUGGCGACUCCAAUCCCAAAGCCAGUGUAACGCGCAUGUGUCCGUUGCAGGAAUAUGCGUUUCAGCCCUAAUGUCUUGUGUGCCGGGUGAGUGGUGGCAUCAUGGCACGUGCAAGUGAACGUUCAUCCACACAGACACUCAGGGAUCUGAACCCGGCCACUCACCGUGGUGGCGGCUCUGGUUCCGACUUCUUUCCGAGCCCUUCCCCGGACCGGUCGUUGCUCCUCUCCAGCCAAAGGGCUCCAGCCGGGAAAGCCCCUUUCGGCCCCCCGAGGGGGGGAAUUCCCGUGACGAUCCCGUGCGUCACUCCCCAUGCCCUUUUUUAUUGGUUGAAAGUUUAACUCCAGGACUCUUGUAGCCAACCCGGAGCAACGCAGGCGCGCCCCUUUCGGGGAAGGCUCGCCCAGGACUGGCCGCGGGGUGUCACCCAGCUCCAGUUCUGCUAGGGACCAGCGAGGCGGGACGACGGACCCAGCGCAGGGCGCGGCUCAGAUCUCUGCACUCUUCCAGGCUUGCCCGGGACCGUUACGGAGUCCAGUGGGCCACUUGGCUCUUGCUGUGCCCAGAGGUUGGCUAUCUCUGAGACACAGGAAACCGGGUCAGUCCCAACACUCCAGUAACCCUCCCAGAGAGGGACCUCCUAGCUGGGAAGGGGAAGAGGAAGGAGUCAGAUCUUGCGGUCAGCUCCAGAUCGCCAUCUAGCGGCCUUUCUGGAGCCGCAAGGAAACUCUGGGGUCAACUGUCUUAGUUUCCGGGCUUCAGGAAGAGACAACUGAUGUUUAUUCUAUGUCCCAACUAUUUGACUUGAAAGGCAUCCAACUGGGCGUGGCGAAAUUCACCUGCAGUCCCAGCUUUCUUGAAACCAAGACAGAUCCUAAGUUUCACACCACCCUGUCUCAACACACAUGCACGCAAAUCUGUCCAAAGUGCCUUUCAAACUUCCUCUUCUGUGGAAAAUUGCCAGCGGUGUGCUUUGCAUGGGUGAGGGCCAGCUGUUACCAUCAUAAAGUGGGUGGGAGGCUCUGGAGACCUCUCAGCGCCGAAGCACUCCUGCUCUUCCUGCAUCCAGGAAGAUUCUUCCAGGAUCCACGUGGGACGGCUCACAAGUGUCCGAAACGAUCACACCAGGGUCCCCUGGCUCUCUCCUCGCCUUCUGGGAGACCGAAUUCAGGUGCACACCCUUCAAUUCUUGACUACUCAUCCCCCAAACCCCAAACCCACGUGGUGACAAAUAAGAAAUAAAAUCAUUUUAGAAAG